rnacentral:rRNA from 1 species
AUGCUCCGAAAACCUAAGGUUUCCUCCGCAAGGCUCGUCCACGGAGGGUUAGUCAGGUCCUAAGGUGAGGCUGAAAAGCGUAGUUGAUGGACAAUAGGUUAAUAUUCCUAUACUGGGAUUGAUUGGUAACGAGGGACGAAGAAGGCUAGGCUAGCCAGAUAUGGGUUACUGGUUUAAGUUUUUAAGGUAUUGACGAUUAGAGAAAAUAAUCUGAGCUAAGAAACGAAUACACGAUUUUAAUAAUCAAAGUAGUUGAUGUCAUACUUCCAAGAAAAGCUCGCUAUGCCAUAAAUCAAUUUCACCUGUACCUUAAACCGACACAGGUAGGUAGGUAGAGAAUACCAAGGAGCGCGGGAGAACCCUCUUUAAGGAACUCGGCAAAAUAGCUCUGUAACUUCGGAAGAAAGAGUGCCUUUUAGGCUGCAAUAUCAAGUUCCAAGCAACUGUUUAGCAAAAACACAGGUCUCCGCUAAGUUGUAAAACGACGUAUGGGGGCUGACGCCUGCCCAGUGCCGGAAGGUUAAAGAAGUCGGUUAGCGUAAGCAAAGCUGGUAACUGAAGCCCCGGUGAACGGCGGCCGUAACUAUAACGGUCCUAAGGUAGCGAAAUUCCUUGUCGGGUAAGUUCCGACCCGCACGAAUGGCGUAAUGAUUUGGAAGCUGUCUCAAAGAGGGACUCGGUGAAAUAGAAAUGUCUGUGAAGAUGCGGACUACCUGCGCCUGGACAGUAAGACCCUAUGAAGCUUUACUGUAUCCUGAAAUUGGAUUUCGAUUUUUUUUGCGCAGAAUAGGUGGGAGACAUUGAGACGAGUUUUUCGGAAUUCGAGGAGUCACCAGUGAGAUACCACUCUGAGAAAAUUAAAAUUCUAACUUCAUACCGUAAGCCGGUUGAAAGACAGUUUCAGGUGGGCAGUUUGACUGGGGCGGUCGCCUCCCAAAAGGUAACGGAGGCGUACAAAGGUUCCCUCAGAUCGGUCAGAAAUCGAUCUUCGAGUGCAAAGGCAAAAGGGAGCUUAACUGUGAGACAAACAAGUCGAGCAGAGACGAAAGUCGGUCUUAGUGAUCUGACGAUGCUGUGUGGAAAGGUCGUCACUCAACGGAUAAAAGUUACUCUAGGGAUAACAGGCUGAUCUCCCCUAAGAGUUCCUAUCGACGGGGAGGUUUGGCACCUCAAAUAGGGGGCACACUUAUUAGUAAUAAGUUGUGACAAUUUGGCUAUAUGCUGGAAACUCCGUUCAUUAAAAAUGAUAAAGUAUCCUAAAGUACUCUUGAAUCUUUCAAAGUAAAAAUCUUUAGGUGCGGACAAUCAGCAGGGAAGUUUAGAAUUUAAUUCUAUAACCCCUCAACGACUACACGCCGAACAAUUUCUUUAAUCGAAGUUGAUGAUAUAGUCUGAUCUUUUAGGCGACUAAAAGGAUUUGAAAAAACGGGAUGAGAAAUUUUUUCUAAUCGUAAAAUGUCAAUCAUAUAUUCUAUGAGUUGAGUUUUAUUAACACUAAUGCGAUGUCGGCUCGUCGUAUCCUGGGGCGGAAGUACGUCCCAAGGGUUGGGCUGUUCGCCCAUUAAAACGGCACGUGAGCUGGGUUCAGAACGUCGUGAGACAGUUCGGUCCAUAUCCGGCGUGGGCGUUAGAGUAUUGAGAGUGACCUUUCUCUAGUACGAGAGGACCGAGAAAGAUAUACCUCUGAUGUAUCAGUUAUUGUGCCAACGGUAAACGCUGAGUAG